GAGAGAGAGAGAGAGAGAGAGAGAGAGGGAGAGAGAGAGAGAGAGGGAGAGAGAGGGAGAGAGGGAGAGAGAGAGAGAGGGGAGAGAGGGAGAGAGAGAGAGAGGGAGAGAGAGAGAGAGAGAGAGAGAGAGAGAGGAGAGGAUAGAAGAUGGGGUAAGUAGACAGCAGGAGAGAGAGAGAGAGAGAGAGAGGGAGAGGAGGGAAGAGGGGUUAAAUAGACAACAUGAGAGGGAGAGAGAGGAGGGAAGAGGGGCAAAUAGACAACAGGAGAGUGAGUGAGGGAUAUGAGAUUUAGGUUAGAAAGAAUGUAGGAAAGAGAGAGUGAGAGAGAAGAGAAGAGGGGGUAAGUAGACAACAGGAGAGGGAGUGAGGGAUGUGAAAUUUAGGAGAGAAAGAAUGUAGGAGAGAGAGAGAGUGAGAGAGAAGGGAAGAGGGGGUAAGUAGACAGCAGGAGAGGGAGAGAGAGGAGGGAAGAGGGGGUAAAUAGACAACAGGAGAGGGAGUGAGGGAUGUUAGAUUUAGGAGAGAAUGACUGUUGGAGAAAAAGUGAGAGAGGAGGAAAGAGGGGAUAAGUAGACAAUGGGAGAGAGGGAGUGAGGGAUGUGAUAUGUAGGAGAGAAGGAAUGUAGGAAAGAGAGUGAGAGAGGAAGGAAGAGGAGGUAAGUAGAAAAGAGGAGAGAGGGAGUGAGGGAUGUGAGGUUCAGGAGAGAAGGAAUGUUGGAGAGAGAGAGACAUAACAUUUGACUUUGAAAUGUCUUUUGAAAUGUCUUUAUUAUUUUGGAACUUGUGUUGUGUAGUGAGUGUGGUACUGUUAAUUUCACUUUUGUUUAUUAUCCAUUUAACUUGCUUUGGCAAUUUAAUUUAAUUUAAUUGAGAGAGAGAGAGAGAGAGAGAGAGAGAGAGAGAGGAGAAAAGAGGGGGUAAGUAGAAAAGAAGAAGAGAGGGAGUGAGGCAUGUGGGGUUUAGGAAAGAAGGAACAUAGGAGAGAGAGAAGAGGGAAAAGGGAG
ensembl:lncRNA